rnacentral:lncRNA from 1 species
CCCAGCCUCAUCCUUCACAAAGGGCGCAGAGAUGGGGCCAGCCUGCUUUGUACUCUUUUGGUGACACCCUAGCCCAAUUUUUGUUCCAGUUCAUAAUGGUAUUCUCUGUAUUUCUGGGUCUCCAUGGAGACCCUAUUCCUGCAAAGACUAUUGGGGGAUUAAAAACAGCAAGGCUAGAUUAUAGAUUGAAUAAUCAGUCAAGACAGAGGACCACCAACAGUGGUCUGCAGAACUGAGCACUCAGUCAGUCAUUCCCAAGGCAAUCGUUAUGAGAUGUGUGAGAGAACCGCUUUGAAUGUUCAGUGCUUACAAUAAUCUUUUAUUCCUUCUUUAAAGGACAAUGCAGUGGGGAUGCUCUACUCCAUUCUCUCAGCACUUUCCCUUCCUGUUCCAUGGGUCUGAAAUUAAUGGUACUACAGCCACAUUCCUGUUGUUUACCAUAGGAAGUCACACCUACUGAUUCAAUGAACCUUAUGGAAGAAUUGACUCAUCAGAUCCCCACUAAUUCAAUGGGCCUUCUCUAGUUGCUGACCAACAUAAUUUCAUUCAAUGACUGAGGCAGGAAAAGUGAGAAAGUUUCAUUUCAAAGACUGGGAGCCAAAGGCCACCUUUCUGGUUGGAUCUGAGGCGCAUAAAUGCAUCCUACAUAGCAGCCAUGUGGCUCUGUUUAGAAGACUGAAGAUUUCCACCUCUCCUUACAGAUUUUUAAGGAAAAAAUCCAGAAAACUUGCAUUCCAGUCUCCUGGAGCUGCUGCCAGGUUAGAGCAGAGAUAAUAAAGAAAUACAUGUUUGAGAAUGUUAACUGACUGUCUGGACUAAGGUCGGAAUAUAUAGUAAUUGGCCGCUGAAUUAAAGUUUCUUCAAUUGUUUUAUUUUGUUUGUGUUUUAAAUUGCAGAUGAAUGUGGAAAUGGGAUGGAAGAAAAUUUGAGUGAGCACAUUCAAAAGGAAAUCCUGAGAUGUCUGCCUUCAAUCCAAAAUGAUUAAUAGCUUGAAACUCACAACCUCAGUAACAUUUUUAUAUAUCAACUGAAUAAGGAUUCCUUCAAUUGUUCAGUGAAAUCAAGC